CAGGGUGACAUGUGCAAUUUUCACAUGAUACGGUGCCUAUAACAAAAUCCAGUCCGCCCUGUUGUUAUUUUGCACGCCAGUCAUGCAUGAAUGGGGAUGACUGCUCAUUUGAUCAUCAGCUUUAUAAUUAUCCAUGUGACAAUUUGCUAAUAAUGACUUCUGCAUCUGAGGUGAUCUGUGUCUGUUUUCACACAAGAUUCUACCUAAGGAAGAAGGUGCUACCAGCAAAGGUAAAUCGGUGCCUCCCUUUGAGCGGAGUAGAACCAGGUCUGCACAAGUAAAGAUCGGUAGUCCGUCCCAGAAGAAUGCCUUGCCCCACCCCCAUGGACUCAUUCUCACAAUAAUACCGAACUGAUUAUGGCAAGGACUGUUGGAACAACCUACAAUAUCUACCAAAUGAGUUACUAACUUCCUUUCAAUGUUGCUCAGCGGACAACUAUCCGAUAUCAAUGAUUCACUUCCAUCUUAAAGU